rnacentral:rRNA from 1 species
AAGUCGUAACAAGGUUUCCGUAGGUGAACCUGCGGAAGGAUCAUUACCGAGUGAGGGCCCUCUGGGUCCAACCUCCCACCCGUGUUUAUCGUACCUUGUUGCUUCGGCGGGCCCGCCGUAAGGCCGCCGGGGGGCAUCUGCCCUCUGGCCCGCGCCCGCCGAAGACACCAUUGAACGCUGUCUGAAGAUUGCAGUCUGAGCAAUUAGUUAAAUAACUUAAAACUUUCAACAACGGAUCUCUUGGUUCCGGCAUCGAUGAAGAACGCAGCGAAAUGCGAUACGUAAUGUGAAUUGCAGAAUUCAGUGAAUCAUCGAGUCUUUGAACGCACAUUGCGCCCCUGGUAUUCCGGGGGCAUGCCUGUCCGAGCGUCAUUGCUGCCCUCAAGCACGGCUUGUGUGUUGGGCUCCGUCCUCCUCCCGGGGGACGGGCCCGAAAGGCAGCGGCGGCACCGCGUCCGGUCCUCGAGCGUAUGGGGCUUCGUCACCCACUCUGUAGGCCCGGCCGGCGCUUGCCGACACAUCAAUCUUUUUUCCAGGUUGACCUCGGAUCAGGUAGGGAUACCCGCUGAACUUAA